rnacentral:rRNA from 1 species
CAGUCGCCACGGUAAUACGAAGGGUGCAAGCGUUAAUCGGAAUUACUGGGCGUAAAGCGUGCGUAGGCGGUGAGCUAAGUCUGCUGUGAAAUCCCCGGGCUCAACCUGGGAAUGGCAGUGGAUACUGGCUCGCUAGAGUGUGUCAGAGGAUGGUGGAAUUCCCUGUGUAGCGGUGAAAUGCGUAGAGAUCGGGAGGAACAUCAGUGGCGAAGGCGGCCAUCUGGGACAACACUGACGCUGAGGCACGAAAGCGUGGGGAGCAAACAGGAUUAGAUACCCCUGUAGUCCCUGUCUCUUAUAC